UCGAAAGCAAACUUUGGAACGGCUACGCCAGUUAGAGACGGAAAAAUCGAGGAAAAAAAGUAGAAAUUUGCUUUAAAUGGAGCGAAAACUAUACAAACGGUGCGCCCCGGAACGCCGGGCCGCAGAAUAUUUAUCGUCCACGGGGAAAUGGCUCUUGCCGGAGCUCUCCAUCAGAAUAAAGCAAAGAAGGAGCUUCUGUAAACAGAUGACUUAUUUAUGUUUGGUCGAUCCGAGCGUAUUCCUUGGGCCGCUAAUGAAGGCUGAAUGUUCCGAGAAAAUCACCCGCACGACAGCGAGCCUAUCGUCGUUAAUCAAUGAAUUCCUGUCGUCCUUGCUGACUUAGUUUGGAUCGCAUUGCCGUUGUGGUGACCGACGGGACCGACGAGACGGGACGUUACGGACGAUGUGCGGACGAAGAUUGCCCAAGUUUCUUAUGACAAUCAAUACUAAUCCACCCACAUGGCGAACAUUAUCAUGGACAACCCCUUCCUGGCAACCUAGAGGAUUGGACAAGUUUGACAGGAUCCAUAUUUUGGUGCUAUAAUUGA